rnacentral:rRNA from 1 species
AGAGGAAGUAAAAGUCGUAACAAGGUUUCCGUAGGUGAACCUGCGGAAGGAUCACUAGAGACUGGCCCGCGGUGCCGACGUCACUCGCCGGUCUCGCGCGCGCCUAAUCCGACCCCGUGGCCGCGUGCGCUCGCGACCAGCUCGUUGACCGCCCGCGCGCCACGACCCCCCGACCAAGCGUCAACCGAAAGAUAGUUAACCGUCGAAGACCACGUACGGUCGUCGUCUCGAUCGUGGAAAUAAUUCGUCGAUAAACAAAAAUAAAGACGCCCGACCCCGAACGGCGGAUCACUUGGCUCGUGGAUCGAUGAAGACCGCAGCUAUCUGCGCGUCGUCGUGUAAUCCGCAGGUUAUACGAACAUCGACCAGU